CGCAGCAUACCGGUUCGACAAGAAUGACGUGAUCCAUCGUGAUCUCAAGUUAUUCAUCCAUCCGGGUCGAAAUCAAGAAAUUUGCUAACAAACAUGUGAAUAGAGUAGAGUUGCACACCAACGCAGCUGAUAAACAACUGCUUGAUAACUCACAAGACAUCGGACGUCUCAAACCUUGAAACCCUACGACUAAGUUUUAGUAAUUUAAGCUAAGGGAAAUGGCGAUUCGAUCUCAUUGGAGAAACAACCCC